rnacentral:misc_RNA from 1 species
UAGCUACUUUCCUCUUUUCUGUGUUUAAAAUAUUAGGCAAAUAAAUAAAUUGGCCAGCAUUACUGAAAUAGCUACUUUCCUCUUUUCUGUGUUUAAACAUUUGAUGCUAAGUUCAAUCACCAGGACUUCUUUUGACCAAAUUCUUUAGAGACUAUUUUCUUCAACAUAGAAAGCCAGGUUUUUAACUUAAGCAGUUAUAUAUGAUACAAGACCACCAAAGUUUAAUCGCCAGCGAGAUCCAUGAAGAAUUUUCCGAUCAACUACCCUUUUAUUAUUUGAGCAGAAAUAUUCCUCUUUGCUUUCCAUAGUCACUUCAAGGAGUUCUCAAUAUCUAUCACAAACCGGUACUUCACAUCUCUCUUUACUACCCUUUCAAGAGCUUCAUUUGCAUACUCAAUAGGGAUUAUUUCUACCUUGGGGUAAACUUUAUGAGCAGCACAAAAGUCCAGCAUUUCUUGUAUCAUUUUUGUACCACCUGUAAUGCUACCAGACACAGUUCUCAUACCCCGGUUGAGAGUUGCAGGACUGAAUUUGACUUCACUUGGAAACCCCACGAGGACAAGAACCCCAGCUGUUUUCAAAAGUGAGAUGUAUAGAUCAAAUGGGUGAUCACCAGAUGCUGUGUCAACUAUAAAGUCCAGUGAUUUAGAGAGUGCCUUCAUCUGGUCUUGGUCAGAUGAGACAACAAAAUUGUCUGCACCAAGCACCCUCAAGGCUUCUUCUUUCUUGGAAAUGCUUGUGCUAAAAACAGUUACUUUCAGUCCAAAAGCCUUCCCAAACUUCACUGCCAUGUGACCAAGACCACCUAGCCCAAUCACUCCUAGAGAUUUACCAGGUUGGUUCAUCCCAUGUCGCAUCAUGGGAUUGUAAACAGUAAUUCCAGCACAUAGCAGAGGUGCUGCUAAGGCCGAAGGAUAAUCAUCUGGUAUCCUAAAGCAGUACCUUUCAUGGACAACAAUGUAGCUAGAAUAUCCUCCUUUUGUGAUUGUACCAUCCACAUCAAUGGCAUUAAAAGUAAAAACUGCCCCUUUUACACAAUUAACUUCUUGUCUGUCAUUACAAUAUUCACAUUCUUUGCAUGAGUUAACAUAAGUGCCUACUCCAACACGGUCACCAGCCUUGAAGCGGCUCACAUUGGAACCAAUCUCUUUUACAAUUCCAACAAUCUCAUGUCCUGGCACCAAGGGAUACUUUGAAUCUCCAUGCAUAUUCCUUGUCCAAAUAACAUCAGCAUAGCAGAUUCCACAAUGUGUAAUUUUUAAGGAAACAUCAUCUUCCCCAACAGUCCUGCGCUUGAACUUGUACAGUGAUAGAACUCCAGAUGGAUCUCUAGCUGCCCAUGCAAAGCAGUCCCUUUCAUUCUCAGAACUCAUUGCUAAGUGUCAAUUAUUCCACCAUAAAGCAUUGGCUAAUCAGUUACACUUUGUGGAAAACAACCAGAACUAUAAACUGUGGAAUCAGAUCCUCUUAUC